rnacentral:lncRNA from 1 species
AAAGCAGACCCCAAGAACUAUUGAGCUUUUAAAAUCUCCUCGACAGUUUCGAUCUAACUCAACACAUAACAGAUCCAACACACCGGCACGGAAACACACUAGAUCUAGGAAUAACAACUGGACUAAACAUCAAUAAUAUUUCAAUAACGGAUCUACCCCUCUCUGACCAUCAUAGUAUACUUUUUGAUGUGGAAAUCAUCUUGACGAAAACCACAAAAAGAAUUCUUAGUCCAAAGAAGACAUCUAGACGAUGAAGCUACGGUGAGAUUUUCUGAGCAGAUUGCUCUAAAAGAGCCAACUAGUCAUGACACACACACACACACACACACACUACACACACGCUCUCUGAAUGAAAUGGUAGAUAAACUCGAUGAUGCACUAUCAUCUGUGUUAGACUCUGUAGCCCCAAUUAAAACCAAAAAAGAAGUUUACAAGCAGGACCUCCCCAUGGCUGAGAAGUAAAAAUGUUAGUGAAAAAAAAGGAAAAUGCCGCACAGCGGAGAGAAAAUAGAGAAAAACAAAGAGCAUCCUACACCUAUCCACCACCAUAUCUACACACACACACACACACACACACACACACACACACACACACACACACACACACACACACACACCUAUCCACCACCAUAUCUACACACACCACCCUAUCCACCACCAUAUCUACACACACACACCCCUACCUAUCCACCACCACACACACACACACACACACACCAUCCCUACCUAUCCACCACCAUAUCUACACACACCAUCCCUACACCUAUCCACCACCACACACACACACACCAUCCACCACCAUAUCUACACACACACCACCCUACACCACCAUAUCCACACACACCACCCCUACCUAUCCACCACACACACACACACACACACACACACACACACACACACACCCCUACCUAUCCACCACCACACACACACACACCCUACACCUAUCCACCACCAUAUCUACACACACACACACACACACACACACACACACACACCCCUACCUAUCCACCACCAUAUCUACACACACACACACACACACACACACACACACACACCCCUACCUAUCCACCACCACACACACACACACACCCCUACCUAUCCACCACCAUAUCUACACACACACACACACACACACACACACACACACACACACACACACACACACACACACCCCUACCUAUCCACUACCAUAUCUACACACACACACACACACACACACACACACACACACACACACACACACACACACACACCCCUACCUAUCCACCACCAUAUCUACACACACACACACACACACACACACACACACACACACCACCCCUACCUAUCCACCACCACAUCUACACAGAUGCACUAACUACUACAAAACCAUCUGUCUAGCA